AUUGAACGCUGGCGGCAGGCUUAACACAUGCAAGUCGAGCGAGCGGCGGACGGGUGAGUAAUGUCUGGGAAACUGCCUGAUGGAGGGGGCUAACUACUGGAAACGGUAGCUACUACCGCAUACCAUCAGAUGUGCCCAGGUGGGAUUAGCUAGUAGGUGUGGUAAUGGCUCUCCUAGGCGGCGAUCCCUAGCUGGUCUGAGAUGAUGACCAGCCGCACUGGAACUGGGACACGGUCCAGACUCCUACGGGAGGCAGCACUGGGGAAUAUUGCACAAUGGGCGCUAGCCAGGUGCAGCCAUGCCGCGUGUGUGAAGACGGCCUUCGGGUUGUAAAGCACUUUCAGCGAGGAGGCGGUACUCGCAGAAUAAGCACCGGCUAACUCCGUGCCAGCAGCCGCGGUAAUUC
rnacentral:rRNA from 1 species